GACGAACGCUGGCGGCGUGCUUAACACAUGCAAGUCGAACGAAGAGCGAUGGAAGCUUGCUUCUAUCAAUCUUAGUGGCGAACGGGUGAGUAACGCGUAAUCAACCUGCCCUUCAGAGGGGGACAACAGUUGGAAACGACUGCUAAUACCGCAUACGAUCUAAUCUCGGCAUCGAGGAUAGAUGAAAGGUGGCCUCUACAUGUAAGCUAUCACUGAAGGAGGGGAUUGCGUCUGAUUAGCUAGUUGGAGGGGUAACGGCCCACCAAGGCGAUGAUCAGUAGCCGGUCUGAGAGGAUGAACGGCCACAUUGGGACUGAGACACGGCCCAGACUCCUACGGGAGGCAGCAGUGGGGAAUCUUCCGCAAUGGACGAAAGUCUGACGGAGCAACGCCGCGUGAGUGAUGACGGCCGUCGGGUUGUAAAGCUCUGUUAAUCGGGACGAAAGGCCUUCUUGCGAAUAGUGAGAAGGAUUGACGGUACCGGAAUAGAAAGCCACGGCUAACUACGUG
rnacentral:rRNA from 1 species